rnacentral:tRNA from 1 species
GCCCCUAUAGCUCAAUGGAUAGAGCUAUCCCGUCCUAAGGGAGAGAUCUGGGUUCGAUUCCUGGUGGGGGCACUA